rnacentral:tRNA from 1 species
UCCCUGGUGUCUCAGAGGUAAAGAAUCUGCCUGCCAACGCAGAGGACAUGGGUUUGAGCCCGAUCUGGGAA